UAGAGCUUUUUGAUUAUGGCUAAUAACAUUUUCACUCUUGUUUACAGAUCCUGGUGGCUAAACAUCUGAUCUCUGAAUAAGGAGCUUAUGAAUAAUACUGAGACUUCUGGAACAUUAUCAGAAUUCUCAGGCCCCAGCCAGUCUCCAACUGAAAGUUUGAAGAGCUGGAAGUCAGGCCACCGUUUUGUCUCUGUGAGGGAAACCCACCUUUCAGGAAAGGCAGAGGGGAGCAACAACAGCAACAAGCAGUCCCUGAAUCAGACACCCUGGUCCAUCUUAUAUUGCCGUGUUUCACAGUGCAGGACAUCUCAGAAUCUAUGAAAUUCAGAGGGCUCUCUCAGCUCUGAGCCAGGACAAAGACUUUAGUUCAGACGGGUGUUGAAUUCACUCUGUUGCCCAGGCUGGCCUUGAACUCACAGGGAUCCGCCUGCCUCAGCCUCGCAGUGCUAUGAUGAGAGCAUGUGCCACCACACCCAGCAGUAGGCAGGCAGUUCUUUGUGCAGAUUGCAGGACGGGCCCAUGUAAGCACACAGUCCCUGCAGAUCUGUGACCUCAUGGGGGCCCAGAACCGAAACAGGCACAUCGUCACCCUACCUGGAGCCUCAAGCACCAUCUCCACACAGCACCCGGUCUUGGGACCUGACAGAGAUCCUCAGUGUCUAACAGUGAGUGAGUCAGGCACAAUUUACGGCCCUGAGUUUCCCAAGAGAAGCUGUGGCUCAGAACACUUGACAGCCCCCCACCUGUCCCUCUUCAUAGCUCUUUGGUCCUACUGUAGCCAUUCGUUUUCAGCUAUUCGACGACAAGCCCAGGAGAAAAUCUACCCACGAAACAAAAUAAAAUUUCACUAUCCAUGGGAACAUCAUAGCCACCUCAUCAUUUCUGCCUUACUCAGGAAAACCUAGGAGCUACAGAAAAGGGGACAGCCAUGCAGAUCUCUCCCCACUGGGUCCCGAGGACUGCGCCCAACCUCCUGAAAGUAUCCUGUCAGUAGUACUACCCUAACUCAGCGCAGCGUGCCACAGGGCCCCAGGCACGAGUGACGGGCUGCCGGGCAUUGCUGCAAAGUGGCCUCUUGAUCUCCACCAGGGAGGUGUCCUGGCCUGCCGCAGUGCCAGUCAGGACCUGACUCCACCUCCCAAACCACAGGCCAUUAUGACGAGGCACCUUUUCCUUUUGCACAAGGAAAGCAGGCCUGGAAGGGCUUGGCUGGGCUCCACCACGGGCCCUAACCUCUCACAAGCCACAGACUGCUCCACCCGCAGACCUGGAAUGACUGAGAGGGUCAGCAGACCAGUCUGGACCUGGAAUUAUUUGGUCCAGAACACACAAAGUCUUGUCUGUAGUGGCAACCAGAGGAAAAGAACCCUUUCUCCUGGGAGCACAGGGCUAGCUGAAGUGAGAGCUCAAGUAAGGGUAGUUACAUUCCUUGAGCAAAAACACUACAAGUGUCCAACCAGAGGGGCCAGUGACGGGCCUUCUACUGUAAGAGUGGUAGCCUUAGGGUACAAACUGAGUGGAUUCAUAUGAGGAAGCUUUAAGCUGUUGCAAGUAAAUAAACAAGAGAGCAGACCUUUUGGAACUUUAUGUAAAAUAUAUAUGUGAGUAGAAAGAAAAGAAUUUCAAGAAAUAACAAAAUGUCAGUGGUGAUCUCUAGCCAGUAUGGCAGGGCUGUAGAUUUUCUUCCUUGUGCCUGUAUUAGGGUUUAACCAAAGAAAGAGUCCACAGAAGAUACACUUUAAGAGAUUUGUUGCCAGGCAUUGCUUUAUGCCAUUUGGAGACUGGUGGGGCAAGUGGGAGAUGCGGGCUGACUAGACUUCUUCGUCUUCAGCCUCUCGGUGGAGUAAACCAGGUCUACCCAGUUUACCUAGGAUAACCUCCUAUACUUAAAAUCAGCUGAUUAUGCGCAGUAAUCACACCCACAAAAUACUUCUCACAACACCUAAAUCAGGGUGUCCUUGAUAACUAGGAGGUAUUAGACUAGUUGUUACGGCGUGGAUGGAGACUGUCCCCCAAAGGCCUCGUGUGCCCACAGGCGGGUCUUUCGGAAGGCAGCUGAGUCAUGGGAGCUGUUGGGAGGUUGGCUCUGGUCAGAAGAGGCAGGUCACUGGGGGCGUGACCUGGAAGGGUCUGUCUCCCUCCCUGGGUCAGCUGUUCUCUCUGCUUCCUGGCCUCCGUGAUGUGAGGAGCGUUUCUCUACCUGGGCCCUUCCACCGUGCUACUUUUGUCUGAAGCCAGCUGACCAUGCAGGGACUGAGACUUCUGAAAACAUGAGCCAAAAUAAACUUUUCCUCCUCCUCCUCUCGGUAUUGGGUAUUUUAUCUGAGCAACAAAGACAGUGACUAAUGCAGCUUCUGAUACCAGAGAAGUAGGAUCAUUGCAAGAACUAUACCUGAAUGUGGUCUGUUUAUUUAUUUAUAUAUUUUG